UACGAAGGGGGCUAGCGUUGCUCGGAAUUACUGGGCGUAAAGCGCACGUAGGCGGAUUGUUAAGUCGGGGGUGAAAUCCUGGAGCUCAACUCCAGAACUGCCUUCGAUACUGGCGAUCUCGAGUUCGGGAGAGGUGAGUGGAACUGCGAGUGUAGAGGUGAAAUUCGUAGAUAUUAGGAAGAACACCAGUGGCGAAGGCGGCUCACUGGCCCGGUACUGACGCUGAGGCGCGAAAGCGUGGGGAGCAAACAGG
rnacentral:rRNA from 1 species